GACGAACGCUGGCGGCGUGCCUAAUACAUGCAAGUAGAACGCUGUUUCUAACGGGUGUGUAACGCGUAGGUAACUGCCCGUUAUCGGGGGAUAACUAUUUUAAACCCUAUCUCAUACCCCAUACUACCAGAUGGACCUUCCUUUUAUUAGCUAGUUGGUGGGGUAACGGCUCACCAAGGCAACGAUACAUAGCCGACCUGAGAGGGUGAUCGGCCACACUGGGACUGAGACACGGCACAGACUCCUACGGGAGGCAGCAGUAGGGAAUCUUCGGCAAUGGACGGAAGUCUGACCGAGCAACGCCGCGUGAGUGAAGAAGGUUUUCGGAUCGUAAAGCUCUGUUGUAAGAGAAGCGGUAUCUUACCAGAAAGGGACGGCUAACUACGUGCCAGCAGCCGCGGUAAUUC
rnacentral:rRNA from 1 species